UACGGAGGGUGCGAGCGUUAAUCGGAAUUACUGGGCGUAAAGGGUGCGUAGGCGGUCUUUUAAGUCAGUGCUGAAAUAUCCCGGCUUAACCGGGAGGGUGGCAUUGAUACUGAAGGACUUGAGUAAAGUUGAGGUGGGCGGAAUUGACGGUGUAGCGGUGAAAUGCUUAGAUAUCGUCAAGAACACCGAUAGUGUAGACAGCUCACUAAGCUUUAACUGACGCUGAGGCACGAAAGUGUGGGGAUCAAACAGG
rnacentral:rRNA from 1 species